GGCCCACUGUUAUUUGUCGGCAUCACCAUGCGCCAGCUUCUCCUACUGAAGGCGAUGCGCGCGCGAUCGGAGCAGUACGGUAGAGGUGCCGCUAGGAGCAGUCCACAACGCGCGGCGCUCCUGUUCCACGUUGGCGCGGGUCUGGUGAGCGCGGAGACACGGAAAGCAAACUUCUCUCGGACGUCUCGGCGUGCACGAGGGGAGCGGUGACUCUGGCUCCCGGGUUCCCUGUGCCCUCGGUGCUGCCUGGUGCCAUCCCAGUCCUGGCAGGACCUCCGCAGCCUGGCCCACACAGGGCCCACUGACUGGACCCGGGACCAGGACCGGACUACACCGGACUGGACUGGACCAGACCGGGACCAGAACUGACCGGGACCAGAGCCCGGGACCAGGACUGGACCAGACGUGACCCGACCAGGAACCAGACAGAACUGAGACCAGGACUGGACUGGGACCGGCAUGGGGACCGGGACCCAGGGCAGACAGGAACAGGACCAGGUCCGGACCGUCCCGGACCCGCUUGGCG